AGCAGCCGCGGUAAUUCCAGCUCCAAUAGCGUAUAUUAAAGUUGUUGCAGUUAAAAAGCUCGUAGUUGAAUUUCGGGAUCAGCAGGUCGGUCGUGCCAAUGGUAUGCACUGGCCUUGCUGAUUCCUCCCUCUUGAUGAGCCGUAAUGCCAUUAAUUUGGUGUUGCGGGGAAUCAGGACUGUUACUUUGAAAAAAUUAGAGUGUUUAAAGCAGGCAAGCGCUUGAAUACAUUAGCAUGGAAUAAUGAAAUAGGACGUUCGAUCCUAUUUUGUUGGUUUCUAGGAUUGACGUAAUGAUUAAUAGGGAUAGUUGGGGGCAUUAGUAUUCAAUUGUCAGAGGUGAAAUUUUUGGAUUUAUUGAAGACUAACUACUGCGAAAGCAUUUGCCAAGGAUGUUUUCAUUAAUCAAGAACGAAAGUUAGGGGAUCGAAGACGAUCAGAUACCGUCGUAGUCUUAACCAUAAACUAUGCCGACUAGGGAUCGGAUGAUGUUAAUUUUUUAAUGACUCAUUC
rnacentral:sRNA from 1 species